ensembl:lncRNA
GCCACAGGAGGGAGAAAAACAAACAGGAAAGAAUUAAAAGGGUUGGGAUAGGGCUGCAAAGCAACAGGCAUAAAUCACUCAGCUCUUCCCUCCCUGAGCUCCCUUGCAGCCAGCACAUGCACAACACCUCCCUUCUGGAUGAGGCUUUGGCAUGAGAGGCAGAUCCCAUGAAUGCUCCAUCGCGUUACCACAGCAGAGCAGCGCUUGGCAAGCUGAUGCAGGAUACUCCCUCAAGAAAACUUUGAAGGAACAGUGCUGCACGGCUGAACUAGGCAAUUACAAAUAUACCAGACACAGGGCUGAGACCCACCUCACUUCUGUUCUGCUGGAGUUCAUAGAAUCACCAAGGUUGGGAAAGGCCCACAGGAUCACCCAGUCCAACCAUCACCAACAGUUCUCAAGAGUUGCAGCACAGUGAAUCACUCCAACCUUCCCUCAAGGAGGGACAGCACAAUAGGAUCAGCCUCUUCUGCACUGCUCUGAAAUCACAAUUCAGAAAAUGGACAAAGUGGAUAAUAAAUUACUCUUCUUAUGCCAGGUAUUUUCCAUUUUGUGUUUUAACCGUUGUUGGUUCUUGGCACUGUUAAACUGUUAAUGGUAAAUUCAAAAGGAAUUGAGGACCUGGCUUCCUGGAUCGUAGUUUUUGGCUUUCCUGCACAAUAGGAUGAAGCCUGCAAGUCCCUUUUGUUACAUGCAGGUACCCAACUCUACUUCGUUACCAAUUAUCCUUCCUCAGCCUCUCCAUCCCUGUAUUACAUAAGGGUUCAGGUGAGACUCCUAAGAUAUCUGACUGCUUUAGCAUGUUUGGUUUUAUGUCUUUGUUACUUUAUAUCUCUCUUUGGCAGUUACAUCUACCUACAUAAUUGCUCUCAUUAAAAGGCUUAGUCAUGGUCUGAAGUAAGUGUAACCCACUGUUAUCUGUGCACUUAAGCAAAUUUCAGCACAGAAAAUUGGGGUAUCAUCUAAAUAUCAGACUACAGGAAGAUAAAACAAUCUAUACUGAAAAUCCAGAAUAAAAAGAAAUAACAGGCUUUGAAGCAGGCCUACCACCGAUUUCAGCUAUCCCCAAAACUGUACCAGGAAGGUUUUAAAUGGGUUUAAACCUCAGAUUUUUCACCUUUGGAAUUCCAGCCCUGUGACUGGUACGUGUGAGCUGAAAGGAGCACAGUCUGCACAGCGCAGUGCUGCAGGAGUGGCAGUUCUCUGAAACUGGAACCAGUCUUGGAAUUACAGUGGUGCUUCUUUUUCCAGGGAAAGGAAGGGAGUGGAAAUGGAAAAACAUCAGUGAGAAAAACCAAACAGGGCCCAAAAUUCAGAGCUGAGGAAGUCUGCAAUGGAGAAUCUAGUUGAGACAGCUGUGCUGAGGCUGACCUAACCUGGGGCUGACCAAGCAAGUUCCAUGAUGUCAUAUUUUGCUAUGAUGGGCCAUUAAAUUAAGUCGCUGGUCCAGACCUUCCUCCUGACACCUAUUAAAUCUACAGCUUUGGAGCUGGAGUUGUCAAGGUAGCACUGCAUCAGAUACCAGGGGAAUCCACGCACACUGUUACAGAAGAUUGCUGCUUGCAUAAAACCUCUUUGCUCUUUUCUUGAUUGUAUAUUCAGGAUAUAUUUUGCAGGCAUAGUCUACGAUUAGAUUAAACAAGCAAAGGAAUUAUUUAUUGCCUGUCCCACUGCACCUACUGCUUAACACCAGAUGAAACUAAAACAAUGGCUUCUGAGCUUGGGUCAAUAGUCUUCCUCUAUAGUCUACCCUCAAUUUCAAAAGCAUAGAGAAAAAAUGGUUAAUUCUACGGUGCCUGCGUUACAAAAAGGAGGAUUCAUUCAUAUUUACAGCAGCCACAAGAACUUCCAAAUAUAUAUUUUUCCAACCUGAAGGGUUUCAGUGACUUGUUCUACAUUUCCAUAGUAGACAAUAGAUCUCACAUAGCACUGUGAUCCAAUCUGCUUUUCUUUGCAGCAGGUAAUUGUAGGACGUUUUUAGGGAUACCUGUAACCUCACAACAUUGCCCUGCCUACUUCAAAAGAAGCUGUCAUCAAAAAGUAUUACCAGUCAAAAGAGUCAGUGAUGCAAUUAUCUUUUUAAACAAACCCAGAAUAGUGGAUCAAACGCACACUACUUUUGAUUAUCCUCAGUCAAGUUUUCUUUAGGGGAUUCUCUGAGCAUCUCCUUCCCCUCAUUCGAGUUAUCAAACUCUCAUUUCUAGACCUCAGAGAACACCUACACGCUCCCUUCUGCUUCCUUCUUCCCACAACCUGAAGUUAAAUGUGGAGCACUUCCUCUGCCACCACUCUUGAAGCCUCAGUGGCCCACCCAACAAUGCCACUCUGUGGCUGGACAGGUAGAGAGAUGUUCUUGCAAUACUCAUUCCUCUUGACAAAUAUCAAUUAUUGUGACCAGGUCUUUUAACAAAAUAAAUACUGACUAGCAGCUAAGAGACUGGCUACUGGCUGCUUCUCACCUCCACCAGGAGCCCUGAAGUGCAGGACAGAAUCCAGGAAAGAUUUUCUGGAAAAUGAAGAGACCCAAUAAAGCCUCUAAGCCCAGGCAAGUCAAUAAACUGUCACAGUUGCCCGGAAGGAAUUGGCUCGUCUUAGAUAAACUCACAAAGGCCCUGAAAAAACACAACUUUUUUUUUUUAAAUGGCAGAGAUUAAUUUUCUGACUUCAAAGUAGUAUUAAUGCAGAACUUGGCUAAGGUUUCCUGUGCAAGCAGUUUCCCCCCGAGCAAUGAUUUCAGAAUCCGCCUUGUUUUAAGGCUGGCAUUUGCUGCAGCUGCAGACCUGGAGUAUUUUCGAUCCCCUCUGAGUGCUGGAACACUAUCCAACAAUUAAACCACAACCCAAAAACAAUCAAACAUCUGUUUGGAGGAAGGCUGCUCAGUGACUGACAUUCUCAUGCCAGCAUAAACACGAAAGCUGCUGAGUGAUUCCUGUCUUUUGUGUAUAUAUGUAUACGUAUGCACCGCUUGUGUAUUUUUUGUUCCUGCAUGCAGAAUAUGUAAAUAUGCUUAAGAGCAUUUUUAUUGCAAUAUGUGGGUGUACUUGUAUAGCUUAUUUGUGGAAGUAUUUUCAUUGGCGUGAACACACAGAUUUGAAUGUCAGCUUGAGAUGUGGUUAUUUGUGUGCUGGAGGUGGUUUUGCAGGAGGCCAAAGCGAACGUGGAUUGGGAGUCUGCAAGCAGGUAUGUGUUUAUGCAGUGCUGCAUGUGUUGGUGUACGUUCAUGUACAGGUAUCAGCUUGAUUUCAUAUGGGCAAAAAUAGCAUUACGGCUGCAUGUAGUUUUGUGGAGAGGCAAGGAUUCUGAAGUGUUUGCAUGUGUGUGUGCACGUGGAACUGACUGCAGCAAGGUGUCUGUGCUUUCUGAUGGACAACUGUCCUAUGCCUGACCUCCACACUCUGCCUUUGAACUAAUCAGAUACUUGGGCUAUAGCAGCCGAUGUCCCUUAUUUUAAGCACCAAAAAGGGACAGACUGCUGGAAGCAGUUCAGAAUUGCGUUCAAAACAGCAGUGAGGUCUGGUCCUGAUGAAAUCCCAGCCUCCUAAAAGUACUGAUUUCAAGAACUCCCAUGGGAACACAACAGGGUAUUGAAGGAUGACUUGUUUCAAGGGCUUUGGAAACAGGAAUGAAUGCUGACAUUAGUUCUGUCUGUCUAGAGAGCAAAUUGCUCUCCUUCCUAAAAGCACUUUUCAGACUCCAUGCAGGUAACUCUUUUUGUCCUAUUUUAUUUAUAGAUUUCAAAUAAUGACGGCCUGGGUAAAGCAGUAUGCAAAUGACAUUCAUUCCCAACAGGAACUCCCUCUGUGUAAAACCAAGACCAGCUUUCAGAAAAUACAACUGUUCCCAAUCCAAGCCAAAUGACAGCUUGUGCUGCUCCCACUGGUUAUCCCCGAACCCCCAAGGUCCACAGACUGCUGCUUGCCAUUUGUGGUGUCUUUAUAUACCUAGAAAUAUGUGAGUCACCACAGCAGGUGCUAGCCAUAACCUGCUUGCCUGAAAACAUCAGUAUCAGAAGUGACAGAAUCUGGGCCACCCACUGGCUGUAUUUCUGGAGCAUCCCUCUGUCUAGGAGGGAGCAGCUGGAGAUCUUUGCUUUAGAGCAUUUAUCAAAUAUCCUGUUGCUGGAGUAUAAGAACACGCCAUCACAGGAAAGACAGACUUGAUGAUCUUCCCACUGUGAGCCCCACAGCUUAACUUAUUGUUGUAGGCUCCUAAUCUUUUGCACCAGCCCUAUUUUUCUUUUCAGCAGUUUAAGCUGAAAAAGUUUACUAGAUAAUAGAUUUGCCUCAGAAAUCACAGGAGGUUCUAUUCCUUAGCAGUUAAGCCAGAGUAAGGCAUGGAGUGCAGUAGAAAAGCACAGAGAAAUGGUAUUCUCCUGCCAUGCCCCCUGCCCAGGUACGCUUCCAUUUGAACUCUUGCAAACACCAGACUACAGCAUUGGUUAGGAUGCUUUAGCAGAUCUGGCGCUGAUGACACGAGACGCAGGCAGGCUGAGCCCUUCCCCCUGCCCUCAUGCUGGCCAUUUCAGUGCUAUUCCAGGACGAGCUCCUGGAACUCAGCAAUGCAAAGAUGACAUAAGUGCAAUGUUCAGAGGUUAAAGCUUCCAUCCAUUUCUGAUACUCCUCACAAUACUCAUUUCUUACUUCAUCACAAAUUUUUGUCCUCUUUUUGCACACAGAAGCCAUACAUCCUGACUACAAGAAUCAGCACAAAGAAAAUGUGAUGGAUGAUGCUCAUGUGUUUAUACUACACAGCUAUUCUGCUGCAUGGCUUCUCAGAAGCCAUGUCAGUAGCUUGCAUGGUCUGUGUGCUACUGAGUGAACAGAUAAUGACUCUUAACCCUACGUAACAUAUAUAGGAAAUACUUUUAAUAGUGGUUUAGUAAUGAUUGGCUGGGUUAGAAGGUGGUCCACUGGAAACGGCAGGCAGUGAGAAAUUUUUCUGAGAGGUUAAGAAGUCAUAGGAUCCACUUAACGCAUAUCAGUUACAUCCCUGACUUCCUAAAGCAUAGCCUAGGAAUAGCUAAGCUCCUCUUUUAACGCUGUAUGUGUGGCAGAACUGGUUCUACAAAAAGUAUAGGAUAAAGAAUGAACUACUGCUGAGUUUUUUCAGGGCCUAUUCAAUUUACACAUGUUGGCAUGCUGUCUUGUAUUUGUUGUUGUGGUUUAUGCAUUUUUCAUUAGAGUAAAGGAGGAUCCUAGGUGCCAAAGUGUUAACCAUCACUGCUGCUAAUAUUAUUUAGAUUUGCCCUGGGUUCAUAUUAGAAAACAUGCAGAAAAUUUACAAGUACAGAAAGUCUUCUCAUUCAUGGAUUUCUUCCAGCUCUGCUCAUCCCUUUUGUGCUUUCCAAUCCUGUGCUAAUUUAUAAGCACUGAUGGAAAUCAAAUCCUUCCUGGUUCCUGCUCCUUCAGUACCACUAACUAUGGCCCUGUUAAUCUGUCCUCCAAUGCUUGUAGCAUAUGAAUAUCUCGGAAUCACUGCCGCUUUGCAGGCUUCUAUGCUAAAUUAAAACACAGCAAAUACAACGUGUGGUCUCUCCGAUUCCAUACAAAGACCCUACAGUAACUCAGGAACAGCCACCACCUGACUCCAGUACUUCAGCUGCCAUGUCAUCAUUAACCUGAACCCGUUUUUAUCCACAGAUUCAAUUGAAACCAGCUACUCAUCAUGAUUUAUGAGAGUCUUUGGGACAGGAGCUGAUCACAUGUAAGCAAGUCUUCAUCUCUAAGAAGCACUCUGAGUUUCUAUUCUGACAAUCUUUGAAUUCUCUUCUUAGGAGUUGGAAAACACCACUUAGUAGAACUGGGAGGAGGUGUUACAUUCUUAAGCCACAUGUUACACAAGAUAUGUCUGCAAGCAAACCGACAACAGAAGGACUGCUCUUUAUUGUACAAUGCCAUGUUCACUCCUGACUUUUUCCAACACAGGACCCCUCUACAGGGCAUAACGCAAUGAUUAUGACAAAGGCACUUAAUCAACAUUAGCAGCUGCUCAAUUUCUAACUCUUGUUUUCCCACAAACUCCAUCUCCAGGAAAAUACAGAGUGCAACUCAAGGAAGCUCUCAGCUGUCCUCCACUUCGUGCAUUUCCAAAGCAGAUGUAAAACAACUUCUGGUCUCUCUUAUGUUCCUAUCUUGUUGAUCUGUGAUUUAUGACUGUAAGACCUUGGAACUUUGAACUGUUCAAUUCAAAUGCAUUCUUUUUUCGUUGUAGGAGUUUUAAGUAAUAUCUGAAGCUCUUAAUUUGUGGAUUAGCACAUUUACCUACACCACAAUUAGUCCAACUCUGAGAAAGCCCAAGACUAACUUUUGGUUCAUUACUCUGUCAAUCAAUAAGCAUCACAUGUGCUACCAGCCAUUCACCUAUAGGAAUGCUCCAGUUUGUUUCUACAUUCCCAGUCACCACUGAUUCAUCUGUCCAAGUCAUAUAACUGUUUUCUUUCUUGGUCAGUAAACUAGAUCAAAGCCUUGAUAUUUUUUAAGAAAAAUCUUGUAUUAAAGAGCAUGUGAGACCCUGAGAAGGUGGAGGCAAACACAUUUGCCACACCAGCGCUCAUCUCAGCUGACAACAGCAGCUUCCUGUGCUCUGUCCUGGGGGGAUAAGGGGCUGUUAAAUCCUCACAUCUGCCACCCCAGUGCACAGCUGUGAGUGGCUCAGGGAGAACCAUCCCUGCUUGCCCAGCUGCCCCCUUCUACUCACUGUCACUCAGCAAGUAACUAUUUCACAGGCCUCACAGAAAACAAUGGGAGCUUUCAGGAAUGAAAUAAAAUCUUUACUCUGAUAGGAAGGCAGCUGUGAGACACAUGAAAGCUUCUGCUUGCUGUCUCUUACUUGUCUCACAAGGUUCAGAUCGAAGGAGUCACAGCAAACCAUCUACAGUGAAACCCUUCACAAAGGUCAGUGCUGGAAAGAGUCUGAACAUGUGGUACCCUGCAGAAAGAUGUGUGGAUAGACAGAUAAACAGCUCACUGACAAGGUAGAUGGAUGCAGAAUGAGGAGGAGCAUACAUGGAAACAGAAUAUAAAAGGAAAAAAGUGAUCAAGAAAGCAAAUUGAUUUUCACUGUUUGUUUUGACAUCCCCAAAGAGGACCCCGUGAUCCUGAGGAAAUCCUGAGGAAUCAUUGCUCUCACUGCUGAUAUUCAGCCACCUUUGGGGCAGAAGGCUGCAGCCUUUAACAGCACUCACUUAUCCUAUAAACCAGUUUAUCACAAACUCACCUCAUAUUAAGGUGCUUUAUAACCCUGGGGGAAAAGUAUCACCUGUUAAAGAGCAAUUACCUCUGCAUUUCCCUUUAGGGCUAUUUUCUCAUCUAAGAACUGAUGAGGUCCAACGCUACUUCAGCUUGCUAAUUAUUCUAACUUCAGGACGUUAGUGCUGCUGAUUAGGAAGUGCGCUGCACCCAGAACAUAGAUGAAUUUAUUUCCUACGGGUAUGCAAUGCUGCACACUUGCAGUGUACUCAUACAGCACUGAGAAGUUAGGAAAAUUAACCCAUGUGGUAAUGUGCCCAGAUGCCUUCCAAUAGCUAGGAGGUCAUAUUUAAACGUUUAUUCCACCCGAUGACAAAUCUGAAUUCACAUCCUUAUACUGUCCUUCUGUCUCCUACCACCUCACUUCCCAGCUCCUGUACUCUCCCUGAGGCACUUCUCUAUCUUUUCCCCUCCUUCCUCUCUUGCUCACACUGGACUAUAAAUAAGUCUGCUUAACACAAACAUGCUUGCUCUGAGUAGUUACUUAUAUGAAAAAUAAUACAUGUUUGUAAGCUUCUUUGUCUUUCCCUUCUUCUACAUUUCAGUUUUGAUUUUCUCUUAUGUUUUGAACAGAUUCCUAUUUUCUACGCUUGAAUAACACUCCUGAAAAUGCUUCUUGUUGGUGUAAAUUUGACCUGUGCUGGUACAGCACGAAUCCUUGCAUUUCCCCUGGUGUUACAUUGCAGGUAGGGAAUAAGGUUUUACUGCUGAUAAUACAGAGGAGUUCUUUAUCUUACAAGGUAAGGAUUCAGGCUUUCAGCUCGGAAGCUCAAGAGCUCAAUGCCAUUGAUGACCCAGGGGAGGAGCUGUGAUACAGGAUCCCAUCACUGAUUUCCACGCUGCCAUCUCAUCAUCAAGUAGUCGAAACCCUUAACCCAUGUGAGCACUUCACCAUGCUAGAGAACUCAGCUCCUCACAGAACAGAAAACAAUGACCACUUGUUAAGCAUUUGUUUGAAAGAGGAAGAAAAAGAGUAUUACAAUGAGUGAUUUCAAUCUCUGUGCUGUCAGCUGAAGGUUCCAUGCUGCCAGAAACAAACAAAUGUAUUCCCUGUUUACAAAUGAUACCAAACAUUUUUAACCUCAAAGACUUUUGUAUCUUAUGUUGGGGAUUUUUUGGCGAGUGAAAAGAAAUAACUUUAGUAUUUAAAAAGUAGCGGUAUUUGAGUAUUUCAUUUGAUUAUGUUUGUUUGAUAAUACACAACUGCUCUAAAACUGACAACUUCGCUAUGAUAAAAACAAAACAGCUUGGAGGAAAUAAAACACCAAUAAUAUUUGCAAACUACAUAAAAGCACUUAGUGGGAAAAAUGCUAUUUCACUAACAGUAAGGAAUGACAGGUUAGUUAAAAAUAGAUAAAAGCUCAUAAAACAAAAGGGAACAAAAGUCAUAUAUAUCUAUUAAUUACUAGGUAGCUAGCCUGACUGUGCUGCUGCUAGCAAAAGUGCAGCUGCAUCAUUACUGGAAAAAUGGGACAGGCUAUGUACACAAAUAGGGCUGGAGUUCAAGCAUGCCUGCCCAAAUCCUCUCUGCUACUCCAUUUAGUGCAUUCUUUCUUAUCAUUCAAAGGGCUGCAUUGAAAUGUGCUGAGCUUCACUGUGCUCUGGAUCAGGGUUAAUGCACGUCUGAAUCCUCUGAGCUGGAGAGCUACUACUUAAAGCCAGUUUUGAGCAUUAGCAGAUUAUUUAAAAAUACCUUUGGAUGAAGAUGUAACGGCUCAGAUGGUGUGCAAUAAAAAACAAUGUACAUCUAGAAAGCUGCUGAGAGCUCAAUGGUUGAACUCAUAGAACGUUUCCUUCACUUGGACUCCAUCAGCAAGCAAGCUCCUACCAGUUCAUCUCUUGCCUUCAUUUACAAAUGCAGAGGAUUUAGCUCUCAGUCUCACUUUGGAGUCUCCAUUAGGACAUCUCCCCAAGUUAUGCUUAAAUCUGGUUCUCAUUUGUUCUUCUCCUGAAAUUAUUCAGGCUACUGUCACUACAUGAUUUGUCUUCAUGACUUCCAAAGGAUGAGUGCUGAGAUGGGAUUUGGACAGAAGGAUAAUACUGAGAGGUGAAACCAGGAAGACCUACACAUUUCUCAAAGGGCCACAAUCAGAAUUCCUUAUUUCCAGAAACUGGCUUUACAUUAUUUCUUAACAGGAGAUAAAGCAAAUUCUCUUAGAAGACCAAAACUUUUCUUUUCCCCCCUGCAAAACUGCAAUCUUCCCAAAAUGCAACAACUCUGAAAUUCUUCAGCCUAAUUCACAGAGAAAACUCAGUCUUCCCAAGACCACAACUUUUUGCCUUGCUUGCACUUUGCUCCUCUGGGCUUGAUUGCUAUGCUAAUUAAACAAGACAUUGGUUAGGUUUUAACAUAGAUAUUCUUUUUUUUAUUUUGGUUUCAGCUUCUUGAAAGGUGUCCAAGAAUACCAGGCAAGGAAAUGAAAUCUGCAUCCCAAGGAAACAAUCCCUUUCCAAAAUUGUUAAUCUUUCCUUAUGACAUGUUUUGGAAUACAAAUGUAUCCAGAGGGGGUUUAUUCAGCAAUAUGCUGUGCUCAUCCCCACCCAGUGACACUUGGAACACAAGCAGAAACACGUAUGUAUUACAAGGAGCGAUGUUCUACAUUGUUAUUAGAGAACCGGGCUUCCUUCAGCAUGCAACAUUAUCAUAACAAACCCAUGACUACACACUUUAACUGUCACUACAUUGCCUUCCAUAUAUGCUGGGAUCAGCAGAAUUAGAAGCCAGGUCUGGUUGCUACAUAUCACUUCUGAUAAAUUUCUGCAUUACAGCAACUGAAGGCGACUAGAGAGCUUUGGCUGUGCCAGAUUCAAUCCAUUCAUAGGUCUGUUCCCCCAGCACGUUUCGUGAAGCUAUUUAGGGGUCAUAUGGAAAUGAAUGCAUGAAGAAGUGAAGAAAAAAGACAUAAUAUUAAACUCUGUAAGUGACUUUUAAGUGAAGACUUUUGCAAAAAGAAAAGACGUAGCAGGUAAGAAAUACAGAGGGGUAUUCUAUGCAUCAUACGGUAUGCAAUGAGAAAUGCUGAAUUUACCAAAAGCUACCAGCAGUUUUGGUUAUUCAGGUGAAGACAACUUAUGCCAAAAAUCUCAGGCAUCUUAAUGUCUCUUGAGACAAAGAUAAAAAAGCAUUCAUAAUCAGAAGUCAGCUCUUAAAACAUACAAUUGGUUCUUAUUUUGAGAAAAGUAGUAACAAGACUUUUUUUAUUUCUUUUUAAUCAAAACAUUGCUCAGAAGCCACAAGUCUCAGAUCAAGAACCAAAUGCGGAAUGCUAAGCGCUCACUAAGAGCUGGCUUGGGCAGCAUGAGUACUACACUAAUUUCUCUUUCAUUCCCUCAGCCCAAAAGCAAAACACAUUUUGCAGCAGCAUCUCAGCUGUUUGCUGAUGACUGAAUCCCAGGCAGGUCAAGAGAAACUUCUUGAACUUCCAAUUUCCAAGAAAGCCAACGAUCCAAGUGAAGUAAGAAGAAAGAAGACAUGCCGUGAAAGACAAAAAGCCUUCUUCAAACACAGCCCUUAAAUAACAGGAUGUGCAUGAAAUCCAAACUUCCUAAUGAAAUAAUUCCAAACCCUUUUGCAAGAAAGAACAGUAUUUUGAUGAAUGGUAUUUGUGACCUUAACGAUAAGCAUUAAUCUGUGCCACUUCAAAACCUCAGAAAAAAGUAGCUGGUAAGUGAGCACCUUGCUAACGAAAACCAGAGGAUGCAUCAUCCUAAUAAUCCAUGAGGAUAACCUGAGGGUAUUUUUUAACAUGACAGAGGCUGUCUCCUUGAGAAGAAAAGGUUAAAGACAACAGAGAGGCGACAGUGACAUCCCAACUACACACCUUAGUGAUAGCACAGCAUGCGCUUCCAUCAAACUACACGUGGGUUUCUAAAAUACUCUUUCACAAAUCAAGUAAUUUAAGUCCAAAUGAAGUUAAAAACAAACUAAAAAUUUGCAAAUGCUCUUCGUUCACAAAAACAUACCCUGGAGGUUUCACAAAACAGAAUAUUCCCCAAACGGCGCAAUUAUUCUAAUGAAUAUGCCUAUAGAAUAAAUGGCUGCUCAGUAGGAGCAACUAGUGAAGCAUAUUAUGGUGAAAAAGGUAUUUUGCAGGUAUGGCUGUAACUUCAUGAUACCAGCUAGAAAAGAUUCUGCAGGUCUACAGAAGGGCUGUAACGGUGCACUGCCAAGUUGCUGUCCAGGCAAAUUACACACGCACCGUGUGCUGGUUGCUGGAGAUGGUCUGCUCCGCAGGAGACAGGAUGCAUUGGCAGGCAGAAGCUGAGCAAAUUCCCGUUUGCACAAACCCACAUACAAUGGGAGAGAGAUUAACUGACAGCAACAGGGCUUUUCACAAGCAGACUUCCACCUAUAAAUUAGUACUACUGCAAAAUGAUAAGUGACAGAUGACAGGUUUUUAAUGAAAUCCAAUGGAAGAAUCUACCUGUCUUGCCCAGAUUCCUACACAUGAAAUACCCUCCUUAGCUGAAUCUGUACCUUGGUACAAUCUCUGACUGGUGCUUUGCAGGAAGUCAGGAUACUUGGGAUCAUCUGAUCUAUAGCUACAUGAGUUUCACUGCCACAUGUACUACAGCAAAAGGCAAAGCAGCGAUCAACAUACAGUGGGCAGACAACGUGGGUAGCGUCAGCUAUGGGUGCUGUGACAGAGUACAGCAAAGUAGGAACCACCCCUUCCAGUGAAGGAAUUCUGAAUAUCAGCCUGAAGUUACAAACAGAUUUUGCUGACUAAGAUAUGAAACAAGCCCAUUUUAAGUAGUUCCAGACCGAUCUGCAUAAAGCAUGCAGUCUGUCUAAUAACAUCUGAUGGGCUGCAAAAGCAGCCAAUGGCUGCAAAGGCCCAGAGUUCCACUGCUGGAUGGAAUCUUUGCAAAUGAGGAGAGCAGUGCUUAUGGUAGAGAAUUCACUAGGAGUCCAAGGGCAGCUCGUAUUGCUAGCAGCAAGGAAUAGUAAAACGGGAGUUCUGUUUGUUUGCUAGAAAGAUCUUGUAGCAAAAAAUACAUUGAAAAUUGAGAAAUAGCUUGCAGUGAUGAACUGGUAAAUGCAACCUUUUUACAGGGGAAUGCCAAAGCAGAUUUUAAACAUUUGGCAGUUUCUCAGAAGCUAGGGGAAGAUUAACUAUGUGAGGGAAAAAUCAGGCCAAGAAACUGAGAACAGCUUUUCAAAAUUAAGGAAAGCCAAGGAGGAACCAAGUCUAAAAAGCAUUUGGAAAGAAAUGUUAAGAUCAUUUCACUUAUAAGAGAUUGAUCUCAGAAUCAGAAGGGUUCUGAACUUGUGGAAGUGGGAAGGAGUCAAAGUUCAGAGGGGGAGCAGCAGAGCCCCAACCUCACAAAGACUACCAAGCAAGGACACACAGCAACCACAGCAAGCAGCAGUGCUCCCAGGGGUGCCAUGGCUAAUGUUGUCUGCAGAGAUGGCUCAUAGGAAUGUCACCAAAACGAACACCCGGCUGACAUCCCCAGCCUCCUCAAGUUUGGUAAAUCUGUGCUCCAGUUUCCAGUGCUUGAAACAGCCUCUGAACACCAGCUCUGCAGGCCUGGACGCAGCACACUGCAUCUCUGCUGCUGCAUUCGUGUUUAUGAAAGCUACAGAAUAUUCCUUUUUAUGCACUCAAAUAACUUUUAAUAUCAAUAGCACCCUGCUGCUAAGAAAUACAACUUAACGGCUGGGUAUUAUUUGUUUUGGAGUAGAAUAUUAUGUUGGGCAGUUUCCCACUGGAAUAUACCUCAGUGUUUUCAAUGUGGCUGUGCAUACCUUGCUUUUUGUAGGCUGUUACAACUGUAAAUGUAUUUUAAAAGCACAUGUACACAUAUGUGAAGGAGGAAAUGAGACCAAUAGCUUUUCAAGGUACUAGCAAUAGGAUUAGUUAGAACCAUGCGCUGACUUCAAAAAAUCUCACAUAAGAAAAUCCCACAUAAAACCAGUCUGUAUCUCAAAACUUCACUGCUACCCCAAGGGGGACGAAAAGGCACUGCAGGACGAAGUGAGAGGCAGCAGCUGUCCUCAAAGGCAAAGGACCUCAGGGGACCCAAACUAUAACGCAAACAUCACCUCUUGCAACAGAGCAGAAGGGAAAAAACUCUCCUUACACUUCAUUUGUAUCACUGUGUAUGCAUUUUUGAUUGAUUCUUAUCAAGACUAUUAUAUUCUACUUCUAGAAUAUGGCAAGUAACAGUGCAGGUAUCUGACUCAAACUACAGAACCUGACAAACAGCACAGCUGCGCCGAAAAUUACUAAGGUGAAAAGGUGGGUGAGAAAAGAGAAAAACUUAAAUAUGGUUUUAGGGGAGAAAAGCUGUUGCUGAAGUCUUUCCUACUUGAGAUGACUCCAAUAAAGCUAUUCCUUCCUUAUCAGUGAAACACAGUCAUCUACCUUGCAGAUCCUUCUCUCAUUCUUACACGCCAAGCACAAAGAUGGAAAAAUUGCAACAAAAUUCUAACUAAGGCAGCAAAAACUCUGCAUGGAAAGAACACAGAACAGAGGAUAAAUAAAGGUUGCUGGUAAAACCUGGAACUUGCUGUGUUCAGCUAAUCCUUCUAAGGAGUUUUUUCUGUGGAGUUAGAGCAGUGAUUGCACCAAUUACAGGCACACUUCUUCAUGAAAUAAAAAAGAGGGAGAAGGGAAGCGAAGCCAAAGCCUCUGAUUUUCUUCUGGCUGAUCUCAAACUGUAGGAAUUCCCCAAUCAAAAGAAUGCUCUGCUCUACCUAAGGAAAUUAUGUUGAUUAGAAUAAAAGCUCCAGAUGUUAACCCAAAACAGUUUGAAGGGGAGGGGAGAAGGCACGCGAGGUGACCCCACCCAGGGCAGGAAGCACAGUGAGAGCCUCAUACCCAACGCCUUGGGACACAGCCAGGGCUCAGCAGCUCUCACGGCUGUCCUCCUUCUCCCCCAGGCAGAUAUAGGAGCUUUUCCAGUUUAACCCCAACACUUCUUUGCAUCCUUUGACAUGCAUUCUUCAGAAAACAUAUAUAAAUCAGAAUAAAAGUUACAUUGAGAACAGUUUUGUUUGGUUUUGAUUUUUAAAUCCAGAAGCAGCAGAACAACUUAUUUCUCCUUGCUAUUUCCAUGCACUUCGUUCCUCACGUCCCCUUUAGGCUGGGUCUCGGUCAUGGACACCGAGCUAUCUCAGAGAGCACAAAGAGGGUUAAAAGGAAAAGCUCUUGCAGAGCAGACACUGCACUUACAGUGAAGACAAAUGUUUUCAUUUUUUGGUAUAGUUGAAGUAGUUUAACUAUUUGUGAGCUUUGAAAAACAGCCAAAGUAAACCAGAUGCUUGUUGCUCAGGGGUCAGUUACCAGCAGCCAAUUAGGGAAAGCUCUUCUAUUAGUCAAAUUUGUACUUUCCUACCAAUCAGAAUAAUGCUUCUUACAUUAAAUGUUUAGGAAAAUAAAAAGGAAAAAGAGUUAAAGCACUGUCACUCCUUCCUGUCUCAAGGAGGAUUAGUCGUCAUCUGAGUAAGGCUGCAAGAUCAGUGCCUAGAAAGUGAUUUUUCUCAAUCAAGCUUUUUUUUUCCCCCCCUGAAGAAUGACUCAGCUAGAAAUAUGGGAACACCACUGCCUGGCUCCAUAAUCCUGCAAACUUGAGCACGGCUAAACUAUGAUAAUACCUGAUAUGAAUAACAGAACAUGGCCAGUCCUGACAACAUCCAGAGUGAGAAACACAUGCCCUAAACCCAGCCUUCCUCCUGGAGAACACAUCCUACAUCACAGUAUGCUGCUUACAUUACACAAAAUGCAGUUGCUGCUGAGCAACAGCGUAGGUCUGGAUUUAUCAAAGAAUUUUCUCCCUCCCUUUCUGACUGCGUAUGUGCAGUUUCAUAGACAAAGUGCUGGUCAUGGUCUCACAUCACUGACUGCACCACAGAGAUCAGGCUCCUGCACAUCACCAGUUAAUCACAUUCUUGAGGGCUUCUUUGGAAAACGAAGCAACUCCAGUCUGCGUCCAUUGCUUCUCAAAAGCAUAAGCUAUGCCUUCUUCCUAUCUGAAAAAUUCUGACAGAUGAGCCCUAUAUUCACAUAAGUGAUGCACAUAGCAUUAGCAUACUCUAUGGAGAAGGCAUUUCUGCCCUACUCACAGAAUAUGUGAAAAUUAACAUAUGGCUGCAGACUGAAACAAGAGAAUUCAUAGGCCCGUCUCCUCCCAAGCCCAGCUCCUCCAUGCCUUACAGAAAUCUGCUGCAUUGGAGUCUUUUCACACAGUCUGCU